rnacentral:rRNA from 1 species
CCUCCAGUAGUCAUAUGCUUGUCUCAAAGAUUAAGCCAUGCAUGUCUAAGUUCAUGCCGUAUUAAGGCGAAACCGCGAAUGGCUCAUUAAAUCAGUUAUGGUUCCUUGGAUCGUACUUUACUACUUGGAUAACUGUGGCAAUUCUAGAGCUAAUACAUGCAGCAGAGCUCCGACCUUUAUUGGGACGAGCGCUUUUAUUAGACCAAAACCGAUCGGGGCCUCGUGCCUCGUAUCUGUGGUGACUCUGUAUAACUUUGGGCUGAUCGCACGAGCUCGUCUCGGCGACGUAUCUUUCAAGUGUCUGCCUUAUCAACUGUCGAUGGUAGGUUACGCGCCUACCAUGGUCGUAACGGGUAACGGGGGAUCAGGGUUCGAUUCCGGAGAGGGAGCCUGAGAAACGGCUACCACAUCCAAGGAAGGCAGCAGGCGCGCAAAUUACCCACUCCCGGCACGGGGAGGUAGUGACGAAAAAUAACAAUACGGGACUCUUUUGAGACCCCGUAAUUGGAAUGAGUACACUCUAAAUCCUUUAACGAUGAACUAUUGGAGGUAAAGUCUGGUGCCAGCAUCCGCGGUAACUCCAGCUCCAAUAGCGUAUAUUAAAGUUGUUGCGGUUAAAAAGCUCGUAGUUGGAUCUCAGUUUGUGCGCGCGCGGUCCGACGCGAGUCGGCUACUGCGUGCGUGCGACCGUGCCGCCGGUUUCCCUGGAUGAUCUUAACCGGUUGUCCCGGGUGACCGGCAAGUUUACUUUGAAAAAAUUAGAGUGCUCAAAGCAGGCGCAGACGCCUGAAUAAUGGUGCAUGGAAUAAUGGAAUAGGACCUCGGUUCUAUUUUGUUGGUUUUCUGGACACGAGGUAAUGAUUAAGAGGGACAGACGGGGGCAUUCGUAUUGCGACGCUAGAGGUGAAAUUCUUGGACCGCCGCACGACGA